rnacentral:rRNA from 1 species
GACGAACGCUGGCGGCGUGCUUAUCACAUGCAAGUCGAACGGAAAGGCCCCUUUGGGGGUACUCGAGUGGCGAACGGGUGAGUAACACGUGAGUAACCUGCCCUUGACUUCGGGAUAACUUCAGGAAACUGGGGCUAAUACCGGAUAGGAAUCCUUGCUGCAUGGUGGGGGUUGGAAAGCUUCGGCGGUUUUGGAUGGACUCGCGGCUUAUCAGCUUGUUGGUGGGGUAGUGGCUUACCAAGGCUUUGACGGGUAGCCGGCCUGAGAGGGCGACCGGCCACAUUGGGACUGAGAUACGGCCCAGACUCCUACGGGAGGCAGCAGUGGGGAAUAUUGCACAAUGGGCGGAAGCCUGAUGCAGCAACGCCGCGUGCGGGAUGACGGCCUUCGGGUUGUAAACCGCUUUCAGCAGGGGCGAAGCUUGUGGUGACGGUACCUGCAGAAGAAGCACCGGCUAACUACGUG